GCCCGGAUGGUCUAGUGGUAUGAUUCGCGCUUAGUAUGUCUCUCUUCUACUACCUCCUCCAUCCUACAAUUACUAACAGCAUCUCCAGGGGUUCACCCAAGCAUUGAUUGCGCGAGGUCCCCGGUUCGAUCCCGGGUUCGGGCC